GACGAACGCUGGCGGCGCGCUUAACACAUGCAAGUCGAGCGAUGAAGCUCCUUCGGGAGUGGAUUAGCGGCGGACGGGUGAGUAACACGUGGGUAACCUGCCUCAUAGAGGGGAAUAACCUUUCGAAAGGAAGAUUAAUACCGCAUAAGAUUGUAGCUUCGCAUGAAGCAGCAAUUAAAGGAGUAAUCCGCUAUGAGAUGGACCCGCGUCGCAUUAGCUAGUUGGUGAGGUAACGGCUCACCAAGGCGACGAUGCGUAGCCGACCUGAGAGGGUGAUCGGCCACAUUGGGACUGAGACACGGCCCAGACUCCUACGGGAGGCAGCAGUGGGGAAUAUUGCACAAUGGGGGAAACCCUGAUGCAGCAACGCCGCGUGAGUGAUGACGGUCUUCGGAUUGUAAAGCUCUGUCUUCAGGGACGAUAAUGACGGUACCUGAGGAGGAAGCCACGGCUAACUACGUGCCAGCCGCCGCAGUAA
rnacentral:rRNA from 1 species